AUAAAUUGAUUUUUUCAACAAUUUUUUUUUUAAUUGGAAGUUGGAAGAGAGUUUUGGAAAAUGUUUUCCUUAAGUUUUGAAGAGAAGUCAUUUUCCUUAAAUUUGAGGAAAAUGAGUUGAUUUGAAAAACAUUUUCCAAAAAUUUAACCCAAUCAAACAUGAGAAAAUUGGAAAACAUUUUCCGAAAAAUGUUUUCCUUCAUACCAAACACACCCUUAAUCAUGAAAUUUAUGUUUUUUUUUUCCUUCUAGGUUACUAGUUCCAAGGUCAUGCUAGAACAUCGAUGUGGUAAAUUAAGCCAAAUCCCAUGAGCAGCAGGCAAUUACGUUAGGUAAAUUUUCAUUUACAAUUUAUAGGCACUUUGUAAUCUACUAAUUUCUAUCCUUCUUUUUGUUGGGAACUGAUUUUCGGAGGUCUGUGCUGAUGAAUACAACACUACCUUCCUAAAAAAAAAAAAAAAAGAAGUUUAAUCAAGAAAAUUUAUGUUGCUGCUCAUAGGUUACUAGGUACAAGGUCAUGGUAGAACUUCCUUGUGGUAUAUCAAGUCAAAAUCCACGGGCAGUAAUCACAUUAGGUAUUUUUAUUUAGUUGUUAAAGGACUGCUAUAAAAAGUCUGUCAAGUUCUUUUUUGCAUUCCUUUUCUCUCACGAAACAAUUUUACUGUUUAAACGGGGUUUGUUAUGUUUCAUAGAGGCUCAUGGGGUACAAACGGCUACAAAUUACUGUACCUGGAAACUGAAGGCUGCCCAGAGUUAGAAGAAAGUUGCACCAAUCGGAGUAGCUCAAACUCCCACUAGUCCAACAUUUCCCGUGUUCCAAAUAUUGAAGUAGAUGGGAGGAAAAUUCAGAACUUAUGUAAGUCUCUGUUUCUUCUUCUAAUUUUUAAAUUUUCAUAUCUUGAUAUGAAAAUUUAUGUGUUUUUUUAUAGGUUACUAGUUCCACGGUCAUGCUAGAACGUCUCUGUGGUAAAUUAAGCCUCAUCCCAUGAGCGGCAGGCAAUUAUGUCAGAUAAAUUUUCAUAUAGGAUUUAUAGGCACUUUGUAAUCUUCUAAAUUUUGUGUCUUCCUUUUUGUUGGGAACAAAUUUUUGGAGGUCUAUGCUGAUGAAUACAACAUGAAAAUUUAUGUUGAUGCUCAUACAUUACUAGGUACAAGGUCAUGGAAGAACUUCAUUGUGGUUUAUCAAGUCAAAAUCCAUGGGCAGCAAUCACAUUAGGUAUCUUUAUUAGUUGUUAGAGGAAUGCUAUAACAAGUUUGUCAGCUUCAUUCCUUUUCUCUCAUGAUACAUUUUUACUGUUUAACCAGGUUUGUUAUGUUUCACAGAGGAACCACCACUUUUAUUUUGUUUGAAGAACAGAAUCUUCAGCUGUAGACUCAUUACGAAACACUUUCAUGAGUAUUUGGGUACUGAACAUCUUUUCGGGAAACUGUAGUCUACAUAUGAAACAUCAAAAAACUCAAAGCAUAUAGGGUGCUCAAUGUGAAGCUACACACGUCUAUCCUCUGUCUUUGCAUGAACCUAUUUGCCUUUUUAUUCUCCAUGUAAGUUUCUGCAAUUUUAUUUGACGAAUAAAGUCUGAUAUCUACUUUCAUAGGGACUUUGUAUUUAACUUUCUAUGAAAUUGUGAACUGUUAGAAUGUAACCUGUUUUAUUCCCUUUUACUUUCAAUGAUUUACUAUCUCACAGUAUUAAUGUCUGUGCCUCCCCUCUCCCAUCCGGUACGAAAUAAGAAGAAUCUUAGUAUUUGUCAUAUCUAGUCAGGUGAUAUGAUGAAGAUAAUGGAAGUAAUGGAUGGUCGGUGUGUUAUGAAUGGGCCUAGACCAGUAUUGACAAAGCAGCCCAAAGCCGAAUUAAAAGGGCUAUGUGUGGGAUCCGGGUUGAUAAAUAGAGACUUGGGAGAGCAAAAUAGUUUUAUGCAAAUUAUGUGAAGCUUUGGCUUUCUGAUCCUCUCAUCUCCUUUCUAUGGUCUAGAAUCUCAUCCCCUUCUAGUUACCCUCUUCUAUGUUAUCUAUCUAUAAUUAGUGUGUUGUUACUUUGUUGUGGGUAUUAUACAUUGUAACUUGUAUUCCGUAAUAACAAUAUAUAUAUCAGUGUUUGUGUUGAAAAUUGAGUUUGUUACAUUGGUGCUUUCAUCCAGAGGUUUCUCAUGGAGGACCAAAGACUCAAGGCUCUCAUCAAUGAAUCCAUUAAGGAGGCAAAAGAGUCAUUUUCCAAAGAUAUUGCAGACAUUCGCCAUAUGUUACAGGAGGUUACCCGAAAGUUCGUUCCGGCAGGGCCUCACAUUCGAGAUCCAACAAUGGAGGUUGCUCGUCCUCAUCACGGGAAAGGCACUCUUGAAUCCCCCACACUCCGUCAUAGGCCAGCUCCGGUGGAACUAGGACGAUUUCGUGGUGAAAAUCCAGAGGCGUGGAUUUUCCAAGCUGAAUGCUAUUUUGAUUUUUACGGAAUCGUAGAAACGCACAAGCUAACCUUGGCAUCCUUUUAUCUCAACGGUGAAGCUUUGGAAUGGUAUCAAUGGUUGUUUUGCAACAAACAACUGGCUGGCUGGGACCAUUUUGUGGACAAAUUGCUGAUUCGUUUUCGCUCCCGUACUAGGGACAAACAACGCGAGUUCUUACCCAUUCCCAGAAACAAGAAUCAUAGGGCAGUGGAGUACUCUCAGGCGGUUAGUCCAUCGUUGGUUAAUAUUGAGACUUUGGGUCCCAUGUUGGACUCCAAAUAUGACUUGAAGAACAACCCAAACGGCUAUGCCUGCAAGGUGUUCGCUGAAAUGCCCGAUAAGAAAAUUGACAUGGAAGUUGAACAUCCAGUGAUAACUGAUUCAACAAAUCUGGCAUCCCAUAUGUUUGAUGAAAAUUUUCAAACAGUUUCUGCAUUUUAAGGGAGAGUACGGUGAGCUUAUCAUGUUUGAUAAUAAUUGUCUUGCACUACCUUGUUUGCCUUCGAUUUUUAGUCGCACCCAACUUAUGGGAAGAUCUAUAUUUGAUUACUUCAAGGAAUUCGGUCAUGCUAACCUCCCAUUAUCGUUGUAUCAAUUUCCACUUGAUCAUUUCGGGUUCAGCUUUCCAUUUGAUCCUGGUUCUAGUUUGAAAGUUGGAGUCGCGCUGUGAUAAUUUGGAGCAAUGUACUGCUCAUCGGUAAAGUUGCAAGAGAACUGCCUACACCUGCUUCUAACUUGCUGAUGUUAGUAUGUAUAGCUUCCUUAAUAGCUCCAAUGAGAAUCCUCACAAUGAUAUCAAAUUGGUACUACUUGAACCUUGAGGACAAGGUUCUUAUUGGGGCUGAAGGUAUUGUUAUGAAUGGGCCUAGACCAGUAUUGACAAAGCAGCCCAAAGCCGAAUUAAAAGGGCUAUGUGUGGGAUCCGGGUUGAUAAAUAGAGACUUGGGAGAGCAAAAUAGUUUUAUGCAAAUUAUGUGAAGCUUUGGCUUUCUGAUCCUCUCAUCUCCUUUCUAUGGUCUAGAAUCUCAUCCCCUUCUAGUUACCCUCUUCUAUGUUAUCUAUCUAUAAUUAGUGUGUUGUUACUUUGUUGUGGGUAUUAUACAUUGUAACUUGUAUUCCGUAAUAACAAUAUAUAUAUCAGUGUUUGUGUUGAAAAUUGAGUUUGUUACACGGUGCCAUUGAAAUCUGCUUAAUGCUUAUGAGGUAUUCAUGAGCCGGUGACUGUGGUUGCAUCUUGCACGAAGCUUGAAAGUUCAAGGUAAGUUUUUUAGAUCAAUACUUUUUUCUCCCAAAUGCUACUUUUGAAUCAUCAUACUUAUCUAUGGAACAAUGUCAAGUCUUAUAUAUGGUAGAAAUCUAUAUAAGUUUCUUAAUAGACUCAUAAAAAACUAUCUUUAUUUUCAUGCUUUAUCAGUAGAAACUUUAUGGAUAUUUGACACACUUCUCGUUACUUUCACUUCACAGGAUAAUUUCUCCGUUGAUAUUGGAAAGUGAAUUGGAAAUAUUAUUUCCCUGUAUGUGGAAGAUCCGAAAAGGAUUCAUGAAUGAUUAAGUUUGUUGCACAUGAAUCAUGAUAAUCAGUAGAGGCUUUUUGCGUAUGUUGAAUUAAUCAUUAAAGGUCACAGACAUGAAUAAGAUUUGCGAAAAUGCAGUCUAGGAAAUGAAGUUUUUAC
rnacentral:lncRNA from 1 species